CCCUUAGAUGUUCUGGGCUGCACGCGCGCUACACUGAUGCGCUCAACGAGUUUAUGACCUUGCCCGGAAGGGUUGGGUAAUCUUCUUAAAACGCAUCGUGAUGGGGAUAGAUUAUUGCAAUUAUUAAUCUUCAACGAGGAAUUCCUAGUAAGCGCGAGUCAUCAGCUCGUGCUGAUUACGUCCCUGCCCUUUGUACACACCGCCCGUCGCUCCUACCGAUUGAGUGGUCCGGUGAAUAAUUCGGACUGCAGCAGUGUUCGGUCACGAACGUUGCAGCGGAAAGUUUAGUGAACCUUAUCACUUAGAGGAAGGAGAAGUCGUAACA
rnacentral:rRNA from 1 species